AUCCUCCAAGGCUAAAUACUCCUGACUGACCGAUAGUGAACCAGUACCGUGAGGGAAAGGCGAAAAGAACCCCGGCGAGGGGAGUGAAAGAGAACCUGAAACCGUGUACGUACAAGCAGUGGGAGCCCCACCACCAAAGCGUUUCACUUUGCGUGGUGCACAAAAUGCGUAACAGCAGCACUGAUGACGGUUGGCGGAGCGGCAGCGACGCCCAACACACCAAUCAAGCAGUGGAGCGUUUUGGGGUGGGGUGACUGCGUACCUUUUGUAUAAUGGGUCAGCGACUUAUAUUCUGUAGCAAGGUUAACCGGAUAGGGGAGCCGCAGGGAAACCGAGUCUUAACUGGGCGAAAGAGUUGCAGGGUAUAGACCCGAA
rnacentral:rRNA from 1 species